rnacentral:rRNA from 1 species
CUACAGGGGUUUCUAAUCCUGUUUGCUCCCCACGCUUUCGCACCUCAGCGUCAACAAUCGUCCAGUAAGUCGCCUUCGCCACUGGUGUUCUUCCGAAUAUCUACGAAUUUCACCUCUACACUCGGAAUUCCACUUACCUCUCCGAUGUUCAAGCGAUGCAGUCUUAAAGGCAAUUCCAGGGUUGAGCCCUGGGCUUUCACCUCUAACUUACAAAGCCGCCUACGUGCGCUUUACGCCCAGUAAUUCCGAACAACGCUAGCCCCCUCCGUAUUACCGCGGCGGCUGGCAC